UGGCCACCCAAACAGGAUCUCUGGCUCGAAAGAUCUCAUAAAAACAUAGACCUCGUUAAACACAGGUUCCGAAACCUGUCUGUGGCCCGAAGCAGGUAAUUUGGUUGAGCUCACCUUGCUGGAUUGUGAAAUAGCCCAGUUUUUCCUCUAUUUUUUCCCCCUCAGGUUAUUUACCCAACAGGGGGAUGGUGUGAAUCCCAGCUCCAAGGCAGGAAUGAAAGAAGCAGAGGGCAGAAAACAUAUUGAAAUUAGAUGUUAAUACGAGAAUUUAUGAAGACCUCUGAGCUACCUGGACACCCUCCACGAGGGAGGUGAAGGCUGGGUGUUCCAGCCUGAAUGUGAGGCUGGCUCCUUCCAACGCAGGCGUCCAGAUCCACCUUUACUGUUUGAUAAGCCGCAUCUGUCAGGCAACCGACACUUGUGUGAAAAUUGUUAGUCACUCAGUUGUGUCCAGCUCUCUGCGACCCCAUGGACUGUAGCCCACCAGGCUCCUCUGUCCAUCGGAUUUCCCAGGCAAGAACACUGCAGUGGGUAGGGAAACAACGAUGAUGAAUUGAUGGGGAGCCCUGCGUGUCCUGACUUGCUCAUGUCGGCAGUCACAACCCUCCUAAGCAUGGACGUUGCAACCUCCCCCACCACCCCCAUCUUUCAGAGGAGGAG
ensembl:lncRNA